GGAAAAGUGCAAUUUCCAUUGUGAACUGCCUUCCAGAAUUUAUGGUAGACCUUCGCUGAUGUUGCUACUGGUGCCAAUGUGGAAUAAAGUAUCUGGAGUCCAUCUUUCUCCAGCUUCUCCUGAGAUUGUACUAGACCAUGACCACUCUCCUUCAGUUGGCUGCCUCUCUUCUGAGCCCAUCAUUUCAUCACCAGAGAAUACACAUGCAGACAACAGCAUUGUCAGUCAAACUGUUUCCAAAGCACAGAUUCAGCAAUCAACACACACUCAUCUGGAUAUCUCACUUUUUCCAUUGGGUUUAAAUGAUGAGAAUAGUAAUGGAACAAUUGCCCUUGUGGAUGAUUCUGAGGAUCCUGGAGCCAAUGUAUCAAACAUACAGCUUCAGCAGAAAAUUUCAAGUCUGGAGAUUAAACUCAAAGUUUCUGAAGAAGAAAAACAGAGAAUUAAAAAGGAUGUGGAAUCAUUGAUGGAAAAGCACAGUGUCUUAGAAAAAGAUUUUCUUAAAGAAAAAGAGCAAGAGGCCAUUUCUUUUCAAGAUAGAUACAAAGAACUUCAGGAAAAACAUAAACAAGAAUUGGAAGACAUGAGGAAAGCUGGUCACGAAGCUCUCAGCAUUAUUGUGGAUGAAUAUAAGGCACUACUACAGUCUUCAGUUAAGCAGCAAGUAGAAGCUAUUGAAAAACAGUACAUUUCUGCAAUUGAGAAACAAGCACACAAGUGUGAAGAGCUGUUAAAUACUCAGCAUCAGAGACUCCUUGAAAUGCUAGAUACAGAGAAGGAACUAUUAAAAGAAAAAAUAAAGGAAGCUUUGAUUCAGCAAUCUCAAGAACAGAAGGAUAUACUGGAAAAAUGUUUGGAAGAAGAAAGGCAAAGAAAUAAAGAGGCAUUAGUAUCUGCUGCAAAGCUUGAGAAAGAAGCAAUGAAGGAUGCAGUUUUAAAAGCCAUAGAAGAAGAAAGAAAAAGUCUGGAAAAAGCCCAUGCUGAAGAAAGGGAGUUAUGGAAGACUGAGCAUGCAAAAGAUCAAGAAAAAGUAUCUCAGGCAAUUCAAAAAGCUAUACAAGAACAAAGAAAAAUAAGUCAGGAAACUGUUAAGGCAGCAAUAAUAGAAGAGCAGAAGCGAAGUGAAAAGGCUGUGGAAGAGGCAGUGAAGAGAACAAGAGACGAAUUGAUAGAGUAUGUAAAAGAACAGAAAAGAAAGCCUGCACAUGGACGUUUGCAUCAACUCGAUUCAUAAUUGUAAAAACCUGGAAGCAAACAAGAUGCCCUUCAGGAGGCAGGCCGGGAAGCGUCGUGCGGCCUGCAGCCCCCGCUUGGCCCUGCAGCUUGGUCUCCCCUGGCCCUAGCUCCCAAGCAACACACAAAGAAAACGUGGCUGCACUUUCAGUGCCCGUGGCCCCAUUCCUGGGGCUUCUCACAGUGGCCCCAGGAAGCACCGACCGCCGUGGGCUCACAGGGCUUUUCUGGGAGAGGCAGAGAAUGUAAUGAUUCGGACCCCACAGUUACCCAGAUGUACCGAGACGCUUACUUGUGUGAUGCCAAAAAAUGAGAUACGACAGCCAGAGCUUGCUUCAGUCCCCUCCGACAAAGAGAGGAUGCAUCUUCAUGGUGAUCUCAGCACUUCUGAUGCCAUUUGGAAAUUUGGAAACAGCUUGAUUAUAUUUGUGAGCCAUAACUUGAUCUCAGUCAUCUCCGAAGCUAUUUCCGGGAGAAGCCUGGCCUUUCUCAGUAAUCAGGAAUCAAAUUCUUGACCUUGAAGAUGGGAGAAAGAACAGAAUGCUUCUUGGUACCACUAUCAGCUGGAUGAAAUUUGAAAACAUCCCCCAGGAUAAAAAGGGGGACAUGCACGGAUAUUUGUACUGCUUUUACCAAUAUCUAGGACGAACUUGGAGCCAGUAGGCUGGUGGUACUCCAGAAAAAGAGAAAACCGAGUCGGAAGCUUGGGAACACACGCCCGAGCCCAGGGCUCAGAUGCAAGGGUCAUCAGGCAUCAGGACUCUGAGUUGAGACCAGAAUGAAAAGUGGUCAGCAUCACUUUCAAUGACGGUUUACCAAACCACCUUUGUAUUCACCCUUUUAAUUUAGGGUCCCCAAAGUAUGGUCCUGUUCUUAUGCUCUCAUAAACUUCAGUAAAACCAGGAAGUAAACAAGUGUUUAUUGAACUGACUUACAGGAAGGAAUGAAAGAAUGGUGGUCUCCUUAAUCAUUUCAGGAAAUUUGAAUAUUAACCUAAAUGAAUUUCUAAGUAGUAGAGGCAGUGGGAAGAAAAUGUUUGGGAGCAAGAGCCUCUUUCUAAAAGCAAAGAGACUAGGGUCAUAAACUCAUCUCUUUUCUCCCCCACUUCCUCCUCCACCUCCCUCCACAUAAUAUCCUUCUUGGUGGCAGGUAUAGGACAUCCAUCUGUGCUAUUUUCCUCUUCCAUCAGGUUCUUGCCUGGUGCCUGGAACCCACACUGCUCUGUCUUCAUCCAUUAGUAAGAACGAGGAAAUUGCCUACUGAACAACAGUUCUACUUAGAUAUCCUAGAGGGACUAUAAAUGCCAUCUGAAAAAAAUCACUCCCUACACCCAUACCUGCUGAAGGACCUCUGUUAUCAUGGUAUCAUUGCCCAGUUGGCCAAGUGAAGAGUUUGGAGAUACUUGGUUCCCUAGGUGGUACUUAAGCUACCAUGAAGGUUUGCGUAGGGGUUUGUAUGCAGUGUGAAGCGUGGGGGGAAGAGGUGUUUUGGAAAACAGAGACUGUGUCUCAAUGACAGUGACAAUGUUUCCAUACUGAAGCACCGUAAUGCAUGUGGAUGUUUCAGAAACAGAAUAAGGUUGUGCCAGACAGACACGAAGCCCGGAAGCACCAUGGUUCCUUUCUCCUAUAACAAGCAACCAACAACAAGCAGUCCAACAAGCAAACCAAAAAGUAAUUGGAACCAAUUCAUAUUUUUCCUCAGUUUCUCAGGAGAUGGUCAAAGGUGGGCUGGCAUAGAUGAAGUAUGUUUUCAUGCCCAAGAAAAGUAGCAACCUGUUGCACAAAUCCAUUCUCCCCUUAUUCACCAUGCUUCACACUCAUCGCUCCCUAAUAUCUUCUAAAAUUCCCCCCACUCUCAACUCCCAACUUCAAUUCUCAUUCUCUUUCCAAUAUAUAUCUUCCAGCUUCUACAGAUUACCCCCAGCUAUUAACUUACACCAAACUUCAUAAUAAGGCCCAGGUGAAUGUGUGUGUCUGCUUUGGUAGGGAGCCUCUCCUGGAGUGACGAAAAUGGGCUGAUUCAUUCACUUUGUCUCUGCCUGCCACGCUCCUCCUCCAGCUAUCUGCAUGACUUUCUUAAAACCCCCACUACCGAAAACACACAAACAAAAAAGCCAAAGAAGAAAAAGAAAGCCAAACUUGAAAAUAAAAAGGUGAGUAGUUUGUCUUUUCAGUGUGCCUUAGGUACCUUGUUUAAUAGGCUCACACAAGGAUGGUUUAGGGAGAUGUACUCUAUUUGACUCACUGUUUACUAGUGAUUAAAAGGCCUAGAGGUAGUGAAGUUUCUCGUUAGUUUGUAGAUUUUUUUCCAGGAGACACCAAAUAAUCUCUGUUAGAAAGAGAAUUUCCAAGAAUAUAGUUUAUAUCAAAUAUAGUAGGACAUUAACCAGCUUUGUCUCUAAUCUAACAUUUUUUUCUUAGUUGAGCAUUCCAUUAUUAAACGUCCUGUGAAUGCUGGAUUUUUGAAUUCCCUUUAAACCAGUCUUAACAUUUUAUUGAUCCAAUACUAACUACCAAGCAGAAUGAAUUUUUGACAUGUGCCAAUUUUGACAUGUUUCUAUUUAUAUGAGAGUUGCUUUCUGACUUUUUGAAAAUUACACUUUAACAACGCUCAUGGAACCCUAGCUUCCUUCAGAUGCCUGCUCAAAUGAAGCCUUCCUGUGGAGGCUUUCCUUGACCAUGCAAUGGAAAAUAAGACCUUGUGUAGAUACUCAGCAUUUCCUAGCUCCCUUUCUUUGCUUCCCUAUAGCAUUUAUGUCCAUUUGAUUUUUCUUUUGUCUUUAGCCACUAGAAUGGAAGCUCUGUGAAUUUAGGGACUCUACAGCCCACUCCCUGAUCAAUAACUGGCAAAUAACGAGUACUCAAUGAAGAGUGCAUGAAUGAAUUUAAUAUACUACUAUCAGGCAUCCCUGGUCCUCAAAGACUAAUUACAUUGUGUAACAGCCACCCUUAUCAACCCUACACUUGGAAUUAUGGUAAAAGUACUGAAGUUGUAUUUAUUUUUCUGUCUCCAUUGAGUGAUUUCUGGGCCCUUUCGUGAGACUGAUACCUUUGCAAGUUUAGCUUUCAUCUGUUAAUGGGAGCAGUAACACACGUGAGAGGCCAUCUAUAACCUCGCCUGGUGCACUUGGACUUAUCAUAGUAAAGACCAACAUAAAGACCAAUUUCAAGAAGUAAGGCUGUUGUUUGUGUACAGGAGCUUGUUAACACAUGCUAGACUUUGUCCUUGCUGUGGAGACAGUUCUCACGCAGCCCUAGGAUUCCUUGGCACCUUCGGAGGAAAGCAGGUAUGAAAUAUCACUGAAUGUUCACUAUGACAGCUGGGAAGAACAGUCAGAAACUCUUAGUCCCAUCCUUCCUUUUAUAAACAAAGAAACAGAGACUUUGAGAAGUGGAGAAUUUUUAUAAGUUCCCACAGCUCAUAAGUGACAAAACUGGGAUGCAAAUCCAGACUUCCUGACUCCCAGCACCCCAGAGUCUAGAGUCGGGAUCCGGAUAGUACAUACGACAUGAGAUCCUCCCAAAGAUGUGACAAGCCACUGCAAGACUCCAGGCAGAACGUACAAAAGGCAGCCACAAAGAAAUGGAGGAAGAUUUUAGAUCUUUGGGACACUGCCUCUUUGCUUCCUCUAAAUAUUAACUCUCUGACACAAAGCCCCAUGAUUCCGACCCAAGAAAUCACCCUGAUGCUUCAGAUAUUGAGCUAGGAGUAUUCUUAUGGCCACACGAGAUGCCAUGGGAGUUACAUUUAUGCCUAAUAUAAGUAGAUACUAAGCCCAACAUAAAAUCUUUAAAGGCAAAUGUCUUGAAGCAUCACAAUCUAGACUUGGCCUGUGCUUAUAAAGGAAUGAAGGUUUGAUGACUAUAGUGUACUCAUUCAUUCAUUCAUCUCCUCGUUGAUUCAUCCAACGGACCUUAUCGAGUACCUCGUCCAUGACAGGGGAUACAGUGGUGAUCAGGAUAGGCAUGGCCCUGGCUCCCUCAGCACUUACGAUUUCCUGGGUGCAACAGACAUUGAACAAGUAUUUAGAGUAAAUUACGGAGGAACACACCACAGAACUUCACCAGGAACCAAGUGACCAGAUUGAUAUUCUAACUCAGUAGGUUUUGAUGAGGGUAGUUUGGAAAGUGAUGGAGACAUUUGGGGUUAUAAUGCUAGAGGGAAGCUCCUAGCCUUUAGGUACCAGGAAGCAAGGCUGCUGAGUGUCUUGUAUUUUUUUGUCCAGCCCCUCAAUACAGGGAAUUUCUCCUACAUCCUCUGUGACCUCUAAGUCCUUGUUGGACAUUCACAAAGGUGAAAAACCUGCCGAAUUACCCAAGUCUGGACUCGACCUUCACUUACAGGUCUACAUGAAGUAUAUUUGUGUAGCUUAAACAGAUACGGAAUGUUCAAGGAAUGAAUCCAUGCAGAAGAUGACAUCAUGUUUUGUUCAGAACUUACGAGCACCAUCUGCAAUUUCAGAAAAGCAUGCCACUGAUAGAAAUGCUGCCAAGAAAACACAACUCUAUCGGAUUACAUUUAGAGCUACCUUAGGAAGGUGGAGCAAGUGGGUGCAUCAGAAUUCAUUUUAAAAUAUAAAUUAUUUUUUAUUACUCCGUUAUAUUAGGACAAUGUAUUAACUCUAGCUUAUUUUACCUGUGAUUUUCAUUCCUGGCUGGUUUGCAAAGGAAAGUGAACAAGAUCUCAAGGACCAGGCAGAGAAUUGUACUGUUUCUUCUCUCUAGUGUCUACGAAUGCCUUUGAUAGUGUCCCUCAGCUGACAGUUUUUGUGGCUCCCCCUACAGAAUUGGGCAGGACAGAGGUGCUUUCAAGUCUUCUCUUUUCCUGUUUCAAUGACUCUGGCUUGCGAAGAUGAGAGAUUGAGGAGAAACCCAGACAUGUGAAGGGGUAUAGGUGUGACGGCCUACCUCUUUGUGAUUUUUGGCUGCACAAUCCGGAAAGCAUAUAUCCAUCUAGAUUUCUGUUUCCUGGAACACAGCACUCAGAGAAUUUUUGUAACCUGUGUAUGUGCCAUCCAGGAGCUUAGAGUCACAAGAAAGAGUUCAGAUGCCAGAUAGUGGCAGUGAAUACAGAGAGACCCAGGAGCCCACAAGCACAGAACAUCAGCCUUUUUUCCAGUUCUACCUAUGACUCCACUUUUCUGGCUGAGGCAGCACAGGAGAGAGUCCGAAUCAAUGAUGGGCAGACGUACUGCACCGUGGACUGCACGGUGUUUAGAGAGCUUUAGUGUCCCUGGGAAUUUGGCAUCCUCAGCCACCGUGAUGCUCUCAGGCCCUUUCUGAUAACCUCAUAUUUCCUAACCUCCCGCAAAACAAGGGUGUCGCAAUGCAGGUUUUUGUAGCUGGCCAACAAAUUACUUUCUCUAUAGAUGGAAAGAGAUAACAAGACCCUGUUAACUUCAUUUUAUGCCUGUUGCUACACAAAUUCAGCCACUUGAUAGGUUGGACAAGCAAGACAGGACAGGAUCCGGGGAAGACAGGCAUUGAUAAAAGCACAUAGCCCUGGAAGACGGCUGCCCUGGAAGCUUCAACUCCACGUGAACAUAGGACAGACUUGGCCCAUGAGGAAGGACCCCCUGAUGUCUACAGUAGCUUGUAGUUAUCAAGCCACCAGUUUGCCUUCUUAAAGAAGUCUGACUGAAGAACUAGACUCACCUUAGAUGACGGUUUGUUGGGGCACCUGGGUGGCUCAGUGGGUUAAGUGACUGCCUUCCACUCAGGUCAUGAUCCAGCAUCUUUGAGACCUGCAUCAGGCUCCCUGCUCCGUGGGGAGUCUGCUUCUCCCACUGCCCCUCA